GGAAAAUUAGUUUAUAAAAACAUUAACUUGUCAAGUUAAAGAUAAUCGUCAAAAUUAUCUUCAU
rnacentral:tRNA from 1 species